AGAGCGAACGUUAGCGGCAGGCCUAACACAUGCAAGUCGCACGAGAAUUGGGCUUCGGCCCAUAGUAAAGUGGCGGACGGGUGAGUAACACGUGGAUAAUCUGCCCUUCGGCGGGGGACAACAGUCCGAAAGGAUUGCUAAUACCGCGUACGUCGACGACGCCCUCGGGUGUUGUCGGGAAAGACGGCCUCUUCAUGAAAGCUGUCACCGAAGGAUGAGUCCGCGGCCCAUCAGCUAGUUGGUGGGGUAAUGGCCCACCAAGGCUUAGACGGGUAGC
rnacentral:rRNA from 1 species